CCUACGGGUUGCAGCAGUAGGGAAUCUUCCGCAAUGGACGAAAGUCUGACGGAGCAACGCCGCGUGAGUGAUGAAGGCUUUCGGGUCGUAAAACUCUGUUGUUAGGGAAGAACAAGUGCUAGUUGAAUAAGCUGGCACCUUGACGGUACCUAACCAGAAAGCCACGGCUAACUACGUGCCAGCAGCCGCGGUAAUACGUAGGUGGCAAGCGUUAUCCGGAAUUAUUGGGCGUAAAGCGCGCGCAGGUGGUUUCUUAAGUCUGAUGUGAAAGCCCACGGCUCAACCGUGGAGGGUCAUUGGAAACUGGGAGACUUGAGUGCAGAAGAGGAAAGUGGAAUUCCAUGUGUAGCGGUGAAAUGCGUAGAGAUCUGGAGGAAUACCGGUGGCGAAGGCGGCCCCCUGGACGAAGACUGACGCUCAGGUGCGAAAGCGUGGGGAGCAAACAGGAUUAGAUACCCCCGUAGUC
rnacentral:rRNA from 1 species